UAGCAGUAGUGUAGAGCGGGAGAAAGGAAAGGCCUGACUCAUGCCCUCAUUCAGAGGUCAAGCAGAGGAUAAGGAGCCAGCAAAGGAAACUAAGUCUGGGCUGCCAGUGAGGUCGGAGCAAAACCAGAAAGCAGCUGCCAUGGAAAAGAUAAGAAAAAUUGUUUCAAGAAGGAGGGUGGUCAGCCAUAUCCAACACUGCUGAGAGGGCCAGGAAGAUGAAGACAAAAUACUGACCAUUAGAUUUGAAAACCCAAAAGUCAUUGGUGACCUUGACAAGGACCAUUUUGGUGGAAAAGUAGAAUCAGGAGUCAACUAGGAGAGAAUGUGAGGUCAAGAAGCAGGGAGAGUAUCUACAGACAACAACAUCAAGACAAUCUGCUGUGAAGAUGAGCAGAGAAAUGAGCCAGAAACACAAAUGGAAUGCGGAACAAAGACAGGGUCUCACUCUCUUUCCCUGGCUGGAGUGCAUGGGUGUGAUCAUGGUUCACUUCAGCCUCAACCUCCUGGCCUCAAGCGAUCCUCCCACCUCAACUUCCCUAGUAACUGGAACUACAAAUGGACACCACCAUGCCCAGGUGACCAGCUCUGUGUUGACUUUCAAUACACUAAGCAUUCCAUCACCUGUUUUAUCUAGAGUUUAUCUCAACUAGUGAGUGUCUUAUUCUGAUGAUAAUAUUUUUACUUUUAAGAUUUAUUUCUAAUUUUGGAACUGAUUCUUUUUCAUAUUCAAAUGGUUUUGUUUCUGCCUAUUCUUCUUGUAAAAUAUCUUAAAUUUUGAUGGCUAUUAUUUUCCCCCUAAUUAACGUGUAAGCCUUCCCAAAAUACUUAUAUAAACAGUACCAGCUAUAAUAAAAAGUUAAUUUUAUUUGAAUUAGUUAAUUUUCUGAUUGUUGGUUUUGUUGGCUAUCUUCCUUAGCCUUUAGUUUCUUCAUAUGGUUUGAAAUUUAGCUUUUGAGGCUUAUUUAAGUGAGAGAAUUUUUGUGAUUGCUUUGUCUUCACGCCCCUUCUCUGACUUUACCCAUCUCUGUGUUUUCCUGCAUCUGGCCUCCUAUAGCCACUGUCCAGAACCUGGUUUGAUCAAAGCAGUUUGAGGUCAUUGCCCCUUGAUGAUGACAGAUACCCCCAAAUCACCCAAAGAGCAGCUUGAUUUGGUUCAGGAUCACAAGGCUCUGUCUUAGACCCCAAUCUUCCCUAAGUUUGCAGAUCCUUUUAAGCUAUAGCCCUAACAGCAGCAAGUGGUAUGUUUUUUUCUAUUCUUCUUUUACAACUAGGUGUUGGAGUAGAGAGACCCACAGCCUUGCCUUUGGUUUCAAGCAGUAAGCCUAGAUCCAACCUCCCUUCCUCCCAGUAAGUGUUUUUAGUCCCGGUUGGAGCCUAAUUCUCAGCCAACACUAUUUGCUCCUCAACCUGGGGCUAACCAGGCCUGGGUUUCAUUUAGCUCUGCUCACCACCUUAGGUAGCUGCUCUAUUACUUGUCUUGUUUCUGGGAUUCGCUAUGUCUUUUCGGUUUUGUCCUUUAUAGUUUAUAUACAGUUAUUAUGUGUAUACACAUAAUUGUUAUGAAGGUAGGUCAAAGCAUAGACUUCCUCUGAAGUCUUGGCCUGUGGACCCACCCUCACGUUUACAACUUACCACAAAGUAUACAUCACAAGGGCAGGGCCCCUAGCUGGCUAAUUCCAGUACUGUAUCUUUCAUAAUAGGUGCCAAAUAAAAGUGUGCUGAAUAUAUAAAUGAAUACAAAUCAUUUUCCUAAAAAGACAGAAAUGCCUUCAGGCACCAUGUUUCAGUUUUUC
rnacentral:lncRNA from 1 species